rnacentral:misc_RNA from 1 species
GCCCAUAGGUUGGGUCGUGACAAGUAUUGACUUGAUUUUAGAGUGAUUAUCAAAUGCCAGCAUUUGCAAGUUUCUAACAUCAACACCUGAGAACUCAGGGCAACAUCAGGGAGAGACAUUGAGAAAUUGAGUACAUAGGCAAAACAAAUCUUGACGUUCCUAGCCUGGCAUAGUCUGGUUGGACCGAAUCCAAUUACCCAACCAAACUAGGCAAAGGCAUCCCACUGUUUCAUUGCUCAGUGAUGUUUGUUUAUAAAGGGAAACGAGAAACCUUUGGUGGACACACAGAGUGCGACCAUAUCUGACAUUAGUCAUUGCAAUAUAUGCUAGCUCCACUUGCCUUCUUCUCCUAAACACAGCCAUUAUUCUAUUUGUAUUGUAUCUAUCUAUAUGUGGACGUCUAUCCUGCCCGGUCUCAACUACUUCUCUCAAAAUUAGUAAAACUGGGUUUUAUCCAAGUUAGUCCAAAGUUGUCCUGAACGGCAACAGAUUGAGUAUUUAUAAAUAUUCAAUCUAAUCAAAUUUACGGGUUUAAAUUUAA